GGAUGUGAAAACAUACUGAGCACACUGUCAACAUGGCUUUCAGAGAGCUGAGACUCUUGGUGGUUGUCCUGUUUGUUUCAACUGGUGCUGAAGGUUGGACCAUAACCGAGUCUGAACCAGCAGUUAAAAGACCUGGAGAGUCCCACAGACUCACCUGUACAACAUCUGGGUUAUCAUUCAGCAGCAGCUGGAUGGCCUGGAUCAGACAGGCUCCUGGAAAAGGACUGGAGUGGAUUGCUACUGAUACUAAUGGUGGCAGCAACCGCUACUCUCAGUCAGUCCAAGGCCGGUUUACCAUCUCCAGAGACAACAGCAGAGAGCAGGUGUAUCUGCAGAUGAACAGUCUGAAGACUGAAGAUUCUGCUGUUUAUUAUUGUGCUCGACAGCCACAGUGACUGGAGUUGGUUGAGCAGCUGAACAAAAUCCU